rnacentral:rRNA from 1 species
GAUGAACGCUGGCGGCGUGCCUAAUACAUGCAAGUCGAGCGAAAAGACGCGGCGCUUGCUCCUCUGACGUUAGCGGCGGACGGGUGAGUAACGCGUGGAUCACCUACCUAUAAGACUGGGAUAACUUCGGAAAACCGGAGCUAAUACCGGAUAAUAUCUUGAACCGCAUGGUUCAAUAGUGAAAGACGGUUUUGCUGUCACUAAUAGCUGGAUCCGCGCCGCAUUAGCUAGUUGGUAAGGUAACCGCCUAUCAAGGCAACGAUGCGUAGCCGACCUGAGAGGGGGAUCGGCGACAUGGGAACGGGACCGGCCUCCAGACGCCUGAGAGAGGCAGCAGUAUGGAAUCUGCCGCAGUAGUCGAAAGCAUGACGGAACAACGCCGCGUGAGUGACAGAGGUGCUGGGUUCGGAAUACUCGGUUUUGAGUUAAGAACAAAUGUGGAAUGAACCAUACCCUUCUUGACGGUACCUAAUCAGAAAGCCACGGCUAACUACGUG